AUUUGUGGGAAGGGAAACUUGUCCACAGUCCUUGGAAAGGAGUCCAGAAAGACCUAGGUGAUAGAAGAUUAACAAAGUGAAGACCAAACAUCAACUUAUGACAAAACUUUGGAGGAGUUUUCUCUGUUCUAUUGUUCAUGGCCCUGUGGGGAGUCAUAAAUGCCUGUACUAAUACUGGUUGACAAUGAAUACUGGCAAAUAACCAGAACUGAAAAUUAGGCAUGAGAUCUGGAAAAGCCACCUGCACCACUCAUUUCUGCCAGCAAAUCAAGGUCCACUUUUUUCAUGUCCUAAAUGCCCUUGUCCGUGUGCCCUCAGCAUGUGACUGUAUGUAUUAUGUAGAUCCCUAAAUGCGGGGCUGGCUGGCUGUAGGGCUCCAGCUGCCCCGAGGCUUUGAGGCUGGGCUGGGGGGGUGAGCAGUGGGCUGCUGUCAGCAGGGCUUCUCCAGCGGGUCCCUGAAGGACGAUGAAGGAAGAGCAGAGGGCUUUGUCUGAUGGCUUUCCCACAGAGGAUGGCAGGCCCUACCCAGCUGAGACGGGCUUCCCAGCUGGAAACCAAGGCAUCCUCCCCUAGGAGGAGCCAGCAAGGACCAGAGAGGAGUCCCAGGAGGACUGAAUUUACAGUGAUUUUUUUUUCUCAAGCCUUUUGCUCCUCAGGAUAAUAGACACGUGUGUCAUCAAGGGAAAUCCAACACAUUGAGUAGGACUGGUACUAGUCCUACUGUAUGUGCUGAAAGCUUUAGGAAUGAGAAUAGAAACUGCUUCUGCAUCACAGCUGCUGACGGGCCGCCCCUCGCACCUCCCUGCGUGUGCUGGGUUAGCUGCAGCCAACGUCGUGUGGAAACAGCCUCCCAAAAUCCCCAGCCCUGGGUGUGCAUUACCCAGGCCACACAGCAGUCCCUGUGUUUCCUGGCUGAAUGACUUAGUUACGUACCUCGACGUCAAAUAACAGACUGAAGAUUCACUUCUUGGCUGGCUAUGAAAUUUUAAAAUGUUCCUUGAACAAUUUUGCUCAGCUUACCCAAGGAAAAUUCAGGCUCCCACAAAGGGAAUCUGAAAGAACUCCUUAAUUUCUCCACUGUUCAGACAGAGCUAAGCUUUGGUGCAAUAUUACAAGAUCCACAAUCUGUAGGCAAGCUGCUUCCAUGACCACAGAAACUUGCUUGCUUCAUUUGGUAGCUGUGAAAAAAACGUUCCUGCUUCUGGGAAAAAUUGCUCUGAGAAUGACCAGGCAUGGUCAAGCAGGUUGUUGCCAGAUGUGGUGUGUGUUAUAUCAGAUGGGAAUUAAAAAAAAAAAAAUGUUUUUAACAGAAAACAGGUAUGCCAAACAAGAGCAUAAUGUGAAAAUAACAUAAAGGCCCCUUUGUGAGAUUUUAUCUGGCAGUUUGGGGCUUUGUGCACCUUCAUUUUGCUGGAGCUGUAUAUUUAGUUCUCCAAGCAGUGUAAUAAAAAUGCAGCUGUAAUCAAUCAGAUCUUCUUUCUUUAGUUCACUCUCGUUAUUCCCCAAGAGGAAGCUUUACAGUUGCAGGAGCAGCAAAUUAAUUUGUGAGAAUGGCUGUGGUCUCAAAACAUGUCUAGGCAUCACAAACAUGACGAUAGCAAAUGAAAAGUAUUUCCUCCAAGGUCCAGUCUAUAGAUGUUAUAAAUGUUGUAAAAUAUUACAAAUAAGAAAUAAUUAAAACUACUGGUAAGAGCUUGUUCUGUGGCUAGGAACAGGACCAGCACAACUGCAGAAGUUGGAACUGUGUCAAACUAUGCUGGUUGUUUGUACCGUGUAUGUCUUAGCCAAGUGACCUUGCUUAUUUUCACUUGGUGCAUUUCUCUAAUUACCAUAGGUGAAUUGUGGAGACACAGAUUACAAGCCUCUUUCUUACUUUUGCAGCUUGCUGACAGAAAUGGUCUAGUGAGCCCCGGCUCACCCUCUCAAUUUAGCAUGGAAAUUGGAGCUUCCAGCUGAUUAUUGUUGAACGGAGGUGGCAAAGUGACUAAUAAAUGUGGGCAUGGUGUUUGUGAUGGGAGCUGCCGCGGCACAGUGCAGUGGAGCGCCUUGCCUGAAGUUGCUCUGCAAAUCCAUCACAGAGCCUGGAAUGAAAUCCACUGCAUUUGAGCAAUGUGGGAAGUGGCACAGCAGGCAGUAAUGCCUAAUGCACAACAAGCUGAAAAGAAAAUCCAGGAAAACAUGGUUGUUACCUCAGAAAUAAAGGUUUUCAAGUCGCCUCACCCAGCCUUGUCCCUGGAGGAUGUUCAGUGGAGGGAGCUGGGCAUGGGGACGUGGUGCUGGGGUGUUCCCAGGAGAGCCAGGCAGUGUGGCCAGAGCCCCGGGAGCCAGCCCUCGGCACCCCACCACUGCAGCUGCAAGCACCAGAGGUGCGUGAGUACCUGAACUGGGUAUUGAGCUUAGUGCUACCGUGUCAUGCCUUCUAUCAUGUAGGUGGAUAUGCCCAAGGCUUGAGAAAUUAGCAUGUAUUCACUUACAGGUCCAUGAAUAUAUAUUUAUGGGAGAGGAACGGAGCUAAUGGCUUGUUUCCAGGUGUGAAAGAAAUGUGGGGUCCUCUGAAAAAUAUUGGCAUCUUCUAUUCCUUGUAUGGUUUGCUGUCAAAAGCAAAAUAGAGGAUGGAGUCUUGAGACUUAAAACAAGAAAAAUAAUAAGUGAUUGCCUCAUGGAUAGUGACUAAGUUAAGAUGUUUUGGAAAGGGUGAUGAGCUGUAUGUUAGCUGCAAGGUGAGCUAAUCAGGAGAGGGAAUUGGCUGUAGAAGAUGUACACUGAUUAGGUGCUAAAGCAUGUUAACUCAUCAGUUUUGAGCAAAACCCAGAAAGAACGAAAAUUGCACAUGGGAUUGAAAUGCCAAAGCAAUGGAAAGGAGUUUAUAUGUGGAGCUGGGAAGCUUCCAUGAAUAAUCUGCAGAGAAAUGACCACUGACCCUUCUAAAUAAGUCGUCCUUGAUGGGAGAGGAAGCUGAGAUCAUGGCCAGUCCCUGCAGCAAGGGAUCCCAAUCCUGGUCAUAGCUGCCACCCGAGCAGGGGAAGAUCUGGCCGUUGCUCUGCCUUUACUGUUUUGCUCAGGAAAGAACCUGAACAAGCUCCUUAUGGCUCUCGUGCAUAGCUUGUGGCAUGGUGCUAAUGGCUCCACAGCUGGAGAUGGUGUUCUCUGCAGCCUCAGAGACAAGACAAAUGCUCUAGGAGCACUUUUCCAAUAACUUUUUUGAACCAUAACGUGGCUUUGAAAUGGUAUGACUUCAUUUUGUGCUUCUGUCUGAAUACCAGAAUGGCCUUGAAAAGAAUUAUUUUAGUUUAGUUCUCAUUAGUAUGGUUACAUAACUAAAAAUAUUCUAUGGCAAAAUAUUUCAGAGUUUGAACUAGCCAGUCUGGCAUCAGAGGGAACAAAGCCUGUAUUCUGCAGCAGGCAUGUCCAACUGUUUGACAUUAAACACAAACAGCUAUUUUCCAUCUCAGCGUAAAAGCUUAGCAUAUUCUGGGGACUUCCAGCACUUACCAAUCUAUUAAUGUGGUCUGACCCAUACUAAGUUAUUAUAGGGGGGUGGGGGGGGGUCCGUCUCUCUCUUUGAAUACAAAAAAGCCCAAUCCUCUUGCAGACUUUUGCUUUAACUGGAUCUUAUUUCUCUGUUAGCAUGCAUUUCAUUUCUCUUCACUGCUGGGACAUGUAAAGCAGCAAAUCUGCAUGGGGUUAAUGCCUCAGUACACUAAAAAAAGCAGAGGCUGGCAAGGAGGAGUGGGAGAAAGUAGAUCAAGAGAGAGUGCUUUGUUCCAGUUCAAGGGCUUGAAGUAUGAGAGAGCGACUCACGCUGUUAUUGGAGGCUGAAAGAAUUUUGUUAAAGGGAUGGGAUCUGAUUUUAUUUCAGCUUAAAAUUUAGUAUCUCUGCCAACCAACCCAAUAAUGCAGGGAAGACCCUUUCCACAAAUAUUCUCAUGCACAGGCACUUCAUCUCCUGCCACACACUAUUUCAGACGGAUGUGAUAGGAAAUCUGUACUGCAAAAUUAAAACUUUCUUGAAAUACUGAAGAUAUGCAACACUCAAAUCACUAAAAUCUCAGUGCUCCUUACUGUGGACAUCAUUCACAACCAAUCACUUUUGCCUUUUGCUGAUAGAUAUAUCAAACUUUCUUGGUUGUGAUAUUGAUCAAAUUCCCUUCUCCUCUCAAGAAUGCAGCAGCUCUGAAACUACACUAGAGCAGGAGAGUUAUUUCUUGCUUCUCUUACACCUGCAGCCUACUUUGUAGAUCUCCAGUCCGAUUUAAUGCAGCAUCACAUUUUGUUUCCUUGUGGGCAGACAUUAGGAAGACUCGGGGAGAAGGGGAGUGAGGUUUUCACUUUCUAGGAAAGGCCUGAAAUAACUGGGGAGGUCUGAAAUACACCAAGAGCUUUAAUGGAAGGUAACUCCACUGCAGGAGCUGGUGUUGCCCAGGCUGUCCCAAAUGUCUGUGUGCCAGGCUGUGCGUGUGUGUGCACGUGGGGGUGACCGGCACAGAGCCGGAGGCACCACAAGAGCCGAGGCUCCGCGGGCACGGGGCCACCAGCCCCAGCGCCAGCAGCACCAAGGAGGGGAUGCAGCUGCUGCAGGGGCUGUGGCAGGGGGAAUCGGCAGAAAUAGCAAGGCUAGCGCCCGGCUUCCUGAGCGGAGAAGAAACUUGACACAGAGGAGGCUGAGGGAUCUGGCGUCUGUAAUACGAAAACUACCAGAACUUUCUCAAGAGCCGUGGUUUUGUUUGCUUGCUCGCUGCUGGGGACGGGGAGCAGUUCGGGCUUGGCAGAGCAGAAGACUUGUCAUCUUCUCAUUUUCAUAUACUUCAGUACUUUGUAAUCUUGGCAAAAGCAAGGUGCUGAAGGGGGUCUGUUCUUGAGUUUCCAAUUCUUAUAUUUCCAAUGUUGAUUAAACAAGAAAAUCUCCUACAAGCCUCUUCUUGUUAGAUUCUUCAGUCCUAUUUCGAGAUCAAAUGGGCUUUAAAACAGGUCUGGAUAAGCUCACAAGCUUAAUCUACUUGAAAGGUAGAAUGAUUGGGUAACAUGCUAGACGUGACAAUAGAUCAUUCUGUGUAUCGCAGGUAGCGCUCCUGUCCUCUGGAGAUAUUCCCCGUCAUGUCUGGAGAGUGCCUGGGACACAAAUGUUCUGCAGUUGCUGUACCAUUUGCACAGCACAGUUGUACCUGAAGGCAGUUGUUUAAUGGAAACAUUCAGUUUGCAUUUUCUGCCACUAAUACUUUAGUGGGAUCAACAUUAUUGAGGCUAAUUAGAAUUCAGCGAGAACUGAUUGUUCAUUAGAGAGAGAAAAAAAUGUUCCAUGGAGCCCUGGGUUUGGUAGAACUAUUUCACAUAAUUAAGCAAUUCCACAUCUUGGCAUUUUAUCCCUCUUGUUAUCAUUGCACUUUGUUAAUAAGUUUUUAAUUGCAAAUUAUCUCUAUGACACAAAUUACACUGUGUUUACUGAUCAGCAAAAAUGCCAUGAUAACCAGCUUGGAUGCCAAGUCCUUCGAAAAUACUAGCUGCCAAGUUCUCUCCCUUACGUAGUUUGGCAUUAAAAUAUCUUCAGGUUACUUAAAAUAUAUUGACUUCCAGUUUAAAGUGUUAUGGACUAUACAGUUUCUUGGCUAAGGCUCCAGGAAUAGGGGAACAAUAGCUUACAUAACCAAAAGAAGCUUAGUUGCAGUGUUGCAAGUUGUUCCUGUUUCUCUGAUGUUCUGGAUUAUG